rnacentral:snRNA from 1 species
UUGCUUCAGCAAUACAUGUACUGAAAUUGAAAUGAAUCAGAGAGGAUCAGCAUGGCCCUUGCACGAAGAUGGAGCAAAAGCUGACUAAUACACAAGGUGCUG